AGUGAACGCUGGCGGCGUGCCUAAUACAUGCAAGUCGAACGGACAAGUAAGAGCUUGCUCUUAUGAGUUAGUGGCGCACGGGUGAGUAAUGUAUAGCUAAUCUGCCCUACACUAGAGGACAACAGUUGGAAACGGCUGCUAAUACUCUAUACUCCUGUCUUACAUAAGUUAGAUAGGGAAAGUUCUUCGGUGUAGGAUGAGGCUAUAUUGUAUCAGCUAGUUGGUGAGGUAAUGGCUCACCAAGGCUAUGACGCAUAACUGGUCUGAGAGGAUGAUCAGUCACACUGGAACUGAGACACGGUCCAGACUCCUACGGGAGGCAGCAGUAGGGAAUAUUGCUCAAUGGGGGAAACCCUGAAGCAGCAACGCCGCGUGGAGGAUGACACUUUUCGGAGCGUAAACUCCUUUUGUUAGGGAAGAAUAAUGACGGUACCUAACGAAUAAGCACCGGCUAACUCCGUGCCAGCAGCCGCGGUAAUACGGAGGGUGCAAGCGUUACUCGGAAUCACUGGGCGUAAAGGACGCGUAGGCGGAUUAUCAAGUCUCUUGUGAAAUCCUAUGGCUUAACCAUAGAACUGCUUGGGAAACUGGUAAUCUAGAGUGAGGGAGAGGCAGAUGGAAUUGGUGGUGUAGGGGUAAAAUCCGUAGAGAUCACCAGGAAUACCCAUUGCGAAGGCGAUCUGCUGGAACUCAACUGACGCUAAUGCGUGAAAGCGUGGGGAGCAAACAGG
rnacentral:rRNA from 1 species